rnacentral:rRNA from 1 species
UACGUAGGGGGCAAGCGUUGUCCGGAUUUAUUGGGCGUAAAGAGCGUGUAGGCGGCCACACAGGUCUGCUGUGAAAACUCGAGGCUCAGCCUCGAGCUGUCGGUGGAAACCGUGUGGCUAGAGUCCGGAAGAGGAGAGUGGAAUUCCCGGUGUAGCGGUGAAAUGCGCAGAUAUCGGGAAGAACACCCGUGGCGAAGGCGGCUCUCUGGGACGGUACUGACGCUGAGACGCGAAAGCGUGGGGAGCGAACAGG